CAGCCAUUACAAGUUAUACAGAUGUACUACUGUCUUAUUAAAUCUGCCUUGCAGAAAACCAACUCCAGCCAAACAGAAGCAUCAGCAAAGGGCCUUGAUGUUCAGACUUCUUGACUGGGAGCUAUGGUGCCAUAAACUUCACAGAAUCAGUAACGGUGUAUUGGAGUUGAUUAGAACUUAAACACAGAGAGUGGGACUUUCAAAAGCAUUCAGCAUUGACCAGACUCUGCUCCUGUUGCAGUCAGUAAGGAAGAAGUCCUUAGCCCAGCUACCUAUGAACACAAAAUGCAAUUAAACCUGUCUCAAACAACUACUCAGACUAAAAUGUGCUUAAAGAAGAUGUCCUUCUAUUAGAUGUGAAACAGAAUUGUACGCAGAAAAACUGGGGAUACGCUGAUGCGGUCAACUAAAACAGAAGAGUGCCUAAUAACCAUGAUGACUUGUAUAGGUUUCAGUGUAUAAGAAAGAAGGAUGAGAUUGGGUUUAUGUAUAUUUCUUUUUCUUAACCCCAAAACAGCUGGAUUUUUAUGAAAGUUUAAAUUUACAGACAAAGAUGUCUAAUCUUGAAGUCUAUACUCCAGCAAAAUUCCUACUGAUCUCAGUGGAACUAUUUAGAUGCUUAAAGUUAACAUGCACUCAAAUGCUUAGCUGAAUUGGGGCCUUAAUUUUUGCUAUUAUAUUUGCUAGUUUAUCUAUUUUUUUUCUCAAU